GAAUCUCCAAAAAAAUAAUUUAUCUGGUGAACUUCCAAACUGGUUAUCUAAACUGCCGCAUCUUAAAGAAUUGUCACUUGAUAACAACUAUUUCAUUGGACCAUUAGCCAAUUUGAGCAAUCUCUUCAAGUUAGAAAGACUGAAUCUCCAAAACAAUUCUUUAUCUGGUGAACUUCCAAAUUGGUUAUCUGGACUACCUCGUCUUAAAGAAUUAAAUAUAUCCAACAAUGAUUUCGAGGGUGUCAUUCCGCAACAACUUCUCAACAAAAAAUGUACAAUCGAGUAAAUUUUAUAUUUAUUGUAUUUUAUUUGUUAUGAACGAUAUAUAUUUCCAUUUUCUUUUUUUUUUU